GCUAGCGUGGCAGAGCUCGGCGCAAAUGCAAAAGGCUUAAGUCCUUUAAUUCAGAGGUUCAAAUCCUCUCCCUAGCU
rnacentral:tRNA from 1 species